rnacentral:rRNA from 3 species
ACGGUGAAACCGCGAAUGGCUCAUUAAAUCAGCUAUGGUUCCUUAGAUCUUACAUCCUUACUUGGAUAACUGUAGUAAUUCUAGAGCUAAUACAUGCCAAUGAGCCCUUACUUGUUUAAAGUUCGGGCGGAUUUAUUAGAUCAAAACCAAUCGGAUUUUCCGUUUGUUUGAUGACUCUGGAUAACUUUUCUGAUCGCACGGCCUUUGUGCCAGCGACGUAUCUUUCAAGUGUCUGCCCUAUCAACUGUCGAUGGUAGGUGAUAUGCCUACCAUGGUUAUAACGGGUAACGGGGAAUCAGGGUUCGAUUCCGGAGAGGGAGCCUUAGAAAUGGCUACCACAUCUAAGGAAGGCAGCAGGCGCGCAAAUUACCCACUCUCAGUUCGAGGAGGUAGUGACGAAAAAUAACAAUACGGGACUCUUAUGAGGCCACGUAAUUGGAAUGAGUACAAUCUAAAUCGUUUAACGAGUACCAAUUGGAGGGCAAGUCUGGUGCCAGCAGCCGCGGUAACUCCAGCUCCAAUAGCGUAUAU